GUAUUCUGUGAAAGAGAGAAGGCUAGCAUUCUCCUUGACAAGAAGUCUUUUUGUUUUGGUUUCCUAUUCUGCAAUGGUCAGUCUGACCUGUUGCUGUGUAAGGUUACAUUAAAAGUUUUU